rnacentral:rRNA from 1 species
AUGCAGUCGAACGGUGAAGCUCAGCUUGCUGGGUGGAUCAGUGGCGAACGGGUGAGUAACACGUGAGCAACCUGCCCUCCACUUCGGGAUAAGCCUUGGAAACGAGGUCUAAUACCGGAUACGAGCACUUACCGCAUGGUGGGUGUUGGAAAGUUUUUCGGUGGGGGAUGGGCUCGCGGCCUAUCAGCUUGUUGGUGGGGUAAUGGCCUACCAAGGCGUCGACGGGUAGCCGGCCUGAGAGGGCGACCGGCCACACUGGGACUGAGACACGGCCCAGACUCCUACGGGAGGCAGCAGUGGGGAAUAUUGCACAAUGGGCGAAAGCCUGAUGCAGCGACGCCACGUGAGGGAUGACGGCCUUCGGGUUGUAAACCUCUUUCAGCAGGGAAGAAGCGCAAGUGACGGUACCUGCAGAAGAAGCGCCGGCUAACUACGUGCCAGCAGCCGCGGUAAUACGUAGGGCGCAAGCGUUGUCCGGAAUUAUUGGGCGUAAAGAGCUCGUAGGCGGUCUGUCGCGUCUGGUGUGAAAUCCCAUGGCUCAACCAUGGGCUUGCAUCGGGUACGGGCAGACUAGAGUGCUGUAGGGGAGACUGGAAUUCCUGGUGUAGCGGUGGAAUGCGCAGAUAUCAGGAGGAACACCGAUGGCGAAGGCAGGUCUCUGGGCAGUUACUGACGCUGAGGAGCGAAAGCAUGGGGAGCG